GCCAUAGAACCAGUGUUUACACAGCUGUGCCAAUGAGUAUGACUGAUUAUGACGUCAUUAUUAUCAGCUUCUGGAGGAGCCAUCCCCCACUGACAGCUCUUUUUGUACCUACCAGGCAAGGAAUGACAUGUAAACCAAGCUCCAGCUCCCAUGAUUCCUGGAUCUUCUGCUUCUUCCAAUUCACUAUGGCCAGCAGUGAGGAGGCUGACUGCCAUGAUCCUCCAGUCUGAAAUAAAGGCCUGAAUGUAAUUACAGCAAAGGCCUCCCAACUGCAGCUCAAAAUCCAUGUCAACAGCGGGAAUUUUGUCUAAGGAUCUGCUGCUCCAGCACAGGCACUCAUCAGUCAGGUAGUUGUCAGCCUUUGGGAAGACAUCAGUGAGAGCAUGUGGAAAGAUCAGGCCUUCUCCAUCACUCCCUCUAACCUUCUGAGACAGCACAAGUUCUACCCUGCAGGUCACUCAUGCCAAGAUGAGGUGAUAUCUUCUGGUGUUGCUCAUCACACACCAACAUGUUAUGUUCUUGUUAACUAUUCUCAUCACUUUGCUUUCCAGAAAACUUCUGUCUAAGAAUUUAAAUAAGAAAAGCCUCCUGGAAAGUAUCAUUUUAUAUUUUAAAGAACACAUUUUUCUGUCUGGCUUUAGACCUGUUGGGUGCUAGUCCUUUAGCUGGUACAGCCAUUAACCUCUGUGGCAUAACAAAGUGCUUCGGACAGCAUUGAUUUAUUAUUCCUUGUGAUUCCCAGGAUUAGCUGGGCAGCUCCUUGGGUGGUUUCACCUGGGGUUGCACAUGCAAGCUCACCAGCUCUACUGUGCUGGGAGGCCCAUGGGGGCUCCAUUUGCAUGUCUGGCAGUGACUGCUGCCUGUGGACAGGUUCCCCCAGCCUCCUACAGACUGGACUGACUUCCUUACAUGGAGGUCUUGGGCCGUAUUUCUAGAAGAUGAAAAUGGAAGCUGCCUGAUCUCUUGAGGCUGAGGCUCUAUA